AAGAAGUCAGGCCGGAUUAAGCCAUAGCACGGUAAGAGCUAUGCUGCCUGUGAGCCCCGUCUAAGGACGUAAAAUGAAGUCAGGCCGAAAGCCACGGCUUGAGCAAACCGUGCUGCCUGUAGCUCCAUCGUGGGGAUGUAAAAACCUGGGAGGCUGCAACCCAUGGAAGCUGUACGCAUGGGGUAGCAGACUAGUGGUUAGAGGAGACCCCUCCCGAAACAUAACGCAGCAGCGGGGCCCAACACCAG
rnacentral:lncRNA from 1 species